UCCGCCGCCGCCGCCGCCGCGAACCAACAGCAGCAGAACUAACAGCCGUCCUCGCCUACGACAGCAGCAGGGGCAGUAGCCACCCAGGCCGCCAAGGACCCCGCGCUAGAAGGCAAGGCCCCGCCGCCGGCUGCCCGCGGAGAACGCCUGACUGCGCGCCUCCAGCGCCUCACGGCUGCCGCCAGGGGGAGCCGCGACUGCCCGGGAAAAUGCCCCUCCCAGACUCCUCCUCCACACCGAGACGAAUCCCUGAACCGCGAUGCGCACCGACUCCGCGCCCACGUACAGCGCGCGCACGGGAACACUGCCGGGCGCGCUCACUCGGAGGCGACAGGUGCGCGCGCACCUGCGCGGCCGUUCCGUACUUGCAUCCCUAGAGCGCGCGCUGAGUGUUCGACGACCUGCGCUGCGUGAGGCCCUCGGCCCCCGGGGCCCUCCCUGGGCGACGGUGGGGCUCCGCAGCGUUUGCCAUCGACUGGAAUCGCCUGCCCGUCCACGUCGGACCCACUUCUAAGACGGAUCCACUUCUAGCCAAAGAGUGGAAAAAGACCAAGUUCGGUGGAAUACACUUUUGACACCAUAUUUGUUAAUGGGUUUGACCUUAUGGCAGCUGUAGGUUAAUGGAGACAAUGGGAUUAAUACGAGAACAAGGCGAAAGCGUCUAAACACGUUAACAAACUAUCAUAAAAUAUUUGGGUUUUCCCGCCCCUUUCCUUAGAGGAUAACUUUUUCUAUCCCGGUCCCUACUCCCAGCCAAAUGGCAAAGGACUAGAAAUGGUUCCAAAUUGUAAAUGGGAAACCUGCUCUGACAGAAACCUCAAACUGUACUAAUUAAAAUACUUUUGGACAACUCCAAUUUUUAAAAUCGC